AGCAGCCGCGGUAAUUCCAGCUCCAAUAGCGUAUAUUAAAGUUGUUGCAGUUAAAAAGCUCGUAGUUGAAUUUCGGGAUCAGUACGCUGGUCGUGCCUUCGGUAUGAACUGGUGUCACUGGUUCCUCCCUUCUGAAGAACCGUCAUGCCAUUCAGUUGGUGUGGCGGGAAAUCAGGACUGUUACUUUGAAAAAUUAGAGUGUUUAAAGCAGGCUCGCGCUUGAAUACAUUAGCAUGGAAUAAUGAAAUAGGACGUUUGACCCUAUUUUGUUGGUUUCUAGGAUCGACGUAAUGAUUAAUAGGGAUAGUUGGGGGCAUUAGUAUUCAAUUGUCAGAGGUGAAAUUCUUGGAUUUAUUGAAGACUAACUACUGCGAAAGCAUUUGCCAAGGAUGUUUUCAUUAAUCAAGAACGAAAGUUAGGGGAUCGAAGACGAUCAGAUACCGUCGUAGU
rnacentral:rRNA from 1 species